GUAAUGAGCAAAUUUAGGUUAAGAAUAUAUCUAUUGUCUAUCAACAAAGUUUGAAAUAGCUUUAUUCAGAAGAAAGAAAUUCAUACAGGUUUGAAACAACAUGAGGACCACAGAUCUAACUACUUAUAGAAGGUCUGUUGUUCUUCAUGGUCUUCCCCUGUACUUGAGAGAGCCAGCUUAAAUUUCAAAGACUAUUUAGGAUACUGAGGCACUGGGGCCACACACAAAGGCCAUGAAAAUGGGGAUCCUGGAAGUGACUGACAGUUCUACCAACUCAGGACCAUAUCCCACAGUGGUCAAUGUGGCUGUAGUACUGGAGGAAGAAGUUGUCAUGUUUUACUGAAUUUCAUUUUGUAAAGCAGAUAUUUGUUUUUCCAGUACAGCUAUUGACUAAGAGUGAUAUGUCAUGCUUUCUUGAACUCUCAGAUCUUGUUUUGGCACUGGUUGAAUACUUGUGUAAUAUUUUACUUGAGCCUAACAGGCAAGUUCAUAUGUAUUUAAAUAAAUACAUAAAAUGUUCUUUAUCAAAGCAUAGUGUGUAAUUUAUUUGAAAUAAUGAAAAAUAGACUAUUUUGACCAACAUUAAUGAAAAAUAGACUUAUUGGCCAACAUUAAAUAUUUAAUACAACAUUUUAUUUCAAUUUGAGUCUGCUUGUUGGCCCAACAAGCUAUGUUUAGUCAACAGAAAAUAUUUAAUUGACACAACAUUCUAUUUCAAGUUCAGUCUACAUGCAGGGGUAGUCAGCACAACACAAAAAAGUUGGUUUCCGCAACUUAAAUUGGGCCAACUAAAAAUUUUAGGUGCAACGGGUCACUAGAAAUUUUUAUGUUGGAGAGGCAUAUAUUUUUUUACAGUGUGGU
ensembl:lncRNA